rnacentral:rRNA from 1 species
AGAACGAACGCUGGCGGCAUGCCUAACACAUGCAAGUCGAACGAGACCUUCGGGUCUAGUGGCGCACGGGUGCGUAACGCGUGGGAAUCUGCCCUUGGGUUCGGAAUAACAGUUGGAAACGACUGCUAAUACCGGAUGAUGACGUAAGUCCAAAGAUUUAUCGCCCAGGGAUGAGCCCGCGUAGGAUUAGCUAGUUGGUGAGGUAAAGGCUCACCAAGGCGACGAUCCUUAGCUGGUCUGAGAGGAUGAUCAGCCACACUGGGACUGAGACACGGCCCAGACUCCUACGGGAGGCGGCAGGUGGGGAAUAGUUGGACAAUGGGCGAAAGCCUGAUCCAGCAAUGCCGCGUGAGUGAUGGAAGGUCCGUUAGGUGUAAAGCUUCGUUUACCGGGAAGAUAAUGACUGUACCGGAGAAUAAGCUCCGGACUAACUCCGU